GCGCCGGUGGUGCAAGGCGUGGCAUCGCUGUCCGAAAUCAGAAGGUGCGGGUUCGAGUCCCGCCCGGCGCA
rnacentral:tRNA from 1 species